AAAACCUACGGGACGCAGCAGUGGGGGAUAUUGCACAAUGGGGGAAAACCUGAUGCAGCGACGCCGCGUGUGGGAAGACGGUCCUCUGGAUUGUAAACCACUGUCCCCAGGGACGAAAAUGACGGUACCUGGGGAGGAAGCUCCGGCUAACUACGUGACAGCAGCCGCGGUAAUACGAAGGGAGAGAGCGUUGUCCGGAAUUACUGGGUGUAAAGGGAGCGUAGGCGGGGAUGC
rnacentral:rRNA from 1 species